CCGAAAACUGGAAAAUGCUGCCUUCUGAGGACACAUUUCAAGGUAGUAAGGCAUCAAGAUUAAUUAAUAUUGCUGUGUUGGGCCACAUUUGUCUCCGUUUUUGAAGUUCAGCUGUUGACUGAGCCACACAAAUACUGAGGUGUGAGACAUUCUGCUGCUUUUGCUGGUGGAAAGAUUCACAGAGAAAAUCAGAGUUCUGUCAAUUACAUGAGGGUGGUUAAAUGACUGGAGACAGUUCAACAAAAAUGAAAACUCAAGUUCUACAAUCUUUUCAUUAAUACGAUGAGAACAGAUGUUAGCUGAAAGCACUGCUGCCCACACUGCAAGUGAGAGUCAGUCGUCUGUAAGAAUAUCUUAUGUUUUCUUGACUGUAAACGUGGUUUCGACGAAUUUCGUUAAAAUAAAGUGAGGUCUCUUCUUUAAA